AGGGAAUCUUCCACAAUGGACGAAAGUCUGAUGGAGCAAUGCCGCGUGAGCGAAGAAGGUUUUCGGAUCGUAAAGCUCUGUUGUAAGGGAAGAACACGUACGGGAGUAACUGCCCGUGCCAUGACGGUACCUUAUUAGAAAGCCACGGCUAACUACGUGCCAGCAGCCGCGGUAAUACGUAGGUGGCAAGCGUUGUCCGGAAUUAUUGGGCGUAAAGCGCGCGCAGGCGGUUCUUUAAGUCUGAUGUGAAAGCCCACGGCUCAACCGUGGAGGGUCAUUGGAAACUGGAGAACUUGAGUACAGAAGAGGAAAGCGGAAUUCCACGUGUAGCGGUGAAAUGCGUAGAGAUGUGGAGGAACACCAGUGGCGAAGGCGGCUUUCUGGUCUGUAACUGACGCUGAGGCGCGAAAGCGUGGGGAGCAAAC
rnacentral:rRNA from 1 species